GACGAACGCUGGCGGCGUGCUUAACACAUGCAAGUCGAACGGAAAGGCCCUGCUUUUGUGGGGUGCUCGAGUGGCGAACGGGUGAGUAACACGUGAGUAACCUGCCCUUGACUUUGGGAUAACUUCAGGAAACUGGGGCUAAUACCGGAUAGGAGCUCCUGCUUCAUGGUGGGGGUUGGAAAGUUUCGGCGGUUGGGGAUGGACUCGCGGCUUAUCAGCUUGUUGGUGGGGUAGUGGCUUACCAAGGCUUUGACGGGUAGCCGGCCUGAGAGGGUGACCGGCCACAUUGGGACUGAGAGACGGCCCAGACUCCUACGGGAGGCAGCAGUGGGGAAUAUUGCACAAUGGGCGGAGGCCUGAUGCAGCAACGCCGCGUGCGGGAUGACGGCCUUCGGGUUGUAAACCGCUUUCGCCUGUGACGAAGCGUGAGUGACGGUAAUGGGUAAAGAAGCACCGGCUAACUACGUG
rnacentral:rRNA from 1 species